rnacentral:misc_RNA from 1 species
UCUCCGUUGGUGAACCAGCGGAGGGAUCGUUACAGAGUUGCAAAACUCCCAAACCCUUGUGAACAUACCCGUUACAGUUGCUUCGGUGGGCGGCCCCAGGGCGGGGCCGCAGCCUCUUCUCACGAGGCGCCCGCCGGAGGUAUAUAACUCUUUGUAUUAUGGUCCCUCUGAGUAAAUUUAUAAUAAGUCAAAACUUUUAACAACGGAUCUCUUGGUUCUG